UACAGAGGGUGCUAGCGUUGUUCGGAAUCAUUGGGCGUAAAGGGCGUGUAGGCGGUUUGUUAAGUCAUGUGUGAAAUCCCUCGGCUCAACCGGGGAACGACGCAUGAAACUGGCAAGCUAGAGUACCAAAGAGGGGGGUGGAAUUCCCGGUGUAGCGGUGAAAUGCGUAGAUAUUAGGAGGAACACCAGUGGCGAAGGCGGCCUGCUGGACUGUAACUGACGCUGAUGC
rnacentral:rRNA from 1 species